rnacentral:rRNA from 1 species
AGUGGCGAACGGGUGAGUAACGCGUGAGUAUCUGCCCUUAGGAGGGGGACAACAGUUGGAAACGACUGCUAAUACCCCAUAUGUCUACGGAUGAAAGAUUUUAUCGCCUGAGGAUGAACUCGCGUCUGAUUAGCUAGUUGGUGAGGUAAUGGCUCACCAAGGCGACGAUCAGUAGCUGGUCUGAGAGGAUGAUCAGCCACACUGGGACUGAGACACGGCCCAGACUCCUACGGGAGGCAGCAGUGGGGAAUUUUCCGCAAUGGGGGCAACCCUGACGGAGCAAUACCGCGUGCGGGAGCACGGCCUGUGGGUUGUAAACCGCUUUUCUCAGGGAAGAAGACCUGACGGUACCUGAGGAAUCAGCAUCGGCUAACUCCGUGCCAGCAGCCGCGGUAAUACGGAGGAUGCAAGCGUUAUCCGGAAUUAUUGGGCGUAAAGCGUCCGUAGGUGGUUAAUCAAGUCUGCUGUUAAAGAGCGGAGCUUAACUCCGUUUAAGCGGUGGAAACUGGUUGACUAGAGAGUGGUAGGGGUAGAGGGAAUUCCCAGUGUAGCGGUGAAAUGCGUAGAUAUUGGGAAGAACACCGGUGGCGAAAGCGCUCUACUGGGCCACAUCUGACACUGAUGGACGAAAGCUAGGGGAGCGAAAGGGAUUAGAUACCCC